GAUGAACGCUGGCGGCGUGCUUAACACAUGCAAGUCGAGCGAGUGAGUUCUUCGGAACGAUCUAGCGGCGGACGGGUGAGUAACACGUGGGCAACCUGCCUCAUAGAGGGGAAUAGCCUCCCGAAAGGGAGAUUAAUACCGCAUAAAAUUAUCGAGUGGCAUCACAUGAUAAUCAAAGGAGUAAUCCGCUAUGAGAUGGGCCCGCGGCGCAUUAGCCAGUUGGUGAGGUAACGGCUCACCAAGGCGACGAUGCGUAGCCGACCUGAGAGGGUGAUCGGCCACAUUGGGACUGAGAAACGGCCCAGACUCCUACGGGAGGCAGCAGUGGGGAAUAUUGCACAAUGGGGGAAACCCUGAUGCAGCAACGCCGCGUGAGUGAUGAAGGUCUUCGGAUUGUAAAGCUCUGUCUUUGGGGACGAUAAUGACGGUACCCAAGGAGGAAGCCACGGCUAACUACGUGCCAGCCGCCGCCGUAA
rnacentral:rRNA from 1 species